UUGAGGAUUUAAGCUCAUUUUCUUUCCCUCUCUUGUUGCUAACUGAUUUGGGAGGCUUUGGAGCUGUUGAAGGUUGUGAGAGAAAGGAGUUUGGAUGUAUUUCGCAGCCUCAACUCAGCAGAUAGCUGAGUUACAACUUGCUGAGUUGGGGAAACUUGUAGCAGCUAUAGAAGAUGUAUUUUGCUAUGGUUCUCCCACUCUAAUCCAGGGAAAAGCUAAGUUGGAGCUGUUGGAAGGUUAACAAUAGAGUAUUAGAAUAUUUUUGGCUGAGAUUUGAGGGCUUUCGAAGGUUGGUUUUAGUGUUCCAACCUGAACCGAAGGAAGGAUUCAAGCCUUGACACUAUACUAGGGUGUUUGGUGGCGAGCGAAGACCUUUGCUCGCAAGAUCAACGGGAGUUAUCGACUAUUUGAGCCUUCCACAGCGGAAAAGGUUAGGGUUCCUGGCAAGGGGUCAGCGGCUAGUUAGAGCCUCAUCAAUGUUAAAUAAAUAGAACCAUAUCAGCUAUUUUAGCUUAGCUCAGAGUUGUACAUUGGAACUAUGUAGAAUGUAUUUUGCACUUAUACUUUUAAGCUGUAAUUUGGGUUAUGUCGGUAUAAUCUUAAGAACUUUUAAGUUUUGCUCUGAUUACCUCAUUGAGAUAUUAUGCUUUUACUAUAUUGAUUAUAGACGCCUAGUGUACACUUGAGGUUGGGGUAUACACGGCGGGUCUGUGCACGU